rnacentral:piRNA from 1 species
UGUGGCUCAACCUUAGCUUCUGUGUU